rnacentral:rRNA from 1 species
UACAGAGGGGGCAAGCGUUGUCCGGAAUUACUGGGCGUACAGCGCGCGCAGGCGGUCAUGGACGUGCCGUGUGACAGACGUCGGCUCAACCGACGUAGGCCAGGGUACACGACAUGACUGGAGACAGAGAGAGGAAUGUGGAAUACCCGGUGGAGCGGUGAAAUGCGUAGAGAUCGGGUGGAACACCAGGGGCGAAGGCGGCAUUCUGGCUCUGGUCUGACGCUGAGGCGCGAGAGCGUGGGGAGCAAACCGG